rnacentral:lncRNA from 1 species
UUGCCUAAGGCAUCCUUACUUGAGGUUCAACGCAGAUUGGAGAGACAACAAAUCCAGAAAAGUUAAUAAACGGUUGAAGUUCUUUUCCUUGGAAGAAAAAUACUGAAAAUGAUUUGAAUUUUCUGCUUGAUUUCAAGUUUAAUUCCCUUGUGAAAAGUCAGAUUUUAAAAGGUUCAGUAGAAAUUGUGUAUUUGGGGUUCUGAAUAUCAGAAUUUUGUUUGAAAAUAUGAGGCUUGAUUUGCUGAUUCUGUUACUGUUUCAUUGCUGGGUUAAGUUGAUUUCUGCUACUGUUUAUUGUUGAUUCUUCACCUCUCUUGUUUUCCUUGUUCAUUACUAGGUAUUACUUCAAAGCAUUGUCAACGAGUGACUAGGAACAUGUAUUUCGAGUUGAGGCCUGACUGAAUACAAGUUGUUUUGGAUUUCCCUUCAUUUGUUUUUUCUACUUCUUUAAAAUAUUCUGUAAUAGACCCUAUAUUGUACAUGUUAGCUUACUUAUCUUAUGUCAUUGAUGUGUUGUAGAAGUGAACCUAUUUGGGGUGUUAAUUUUCCUUCUUCUUUUGGUUUGGUUCGAGUGAAUGGGGCUAAUUUCCUAGAUCUCGUCACUUUCAAUAUUGAGAAAGAGUUAAUUGGUUUGAAGUUUCAUGCUGUGUUUGUAAGUUUAGCAUAAGUUUGAAUCCAAGCAUGAAUAUUUGUUAGUUUGAAGUCGAGCAUGCUUAGUAGUACUCAAAGUUUCCUGGUGUAUUAAUUAU